rnacentral:rRNA from 1 species
UACGUAGGGUGCAAGCGUUAAUCGGAAUUACUGGGCGUAAAGCGUGCGCAGGCGGUUUUGUAAGUCUGACGUGAAAUCCCCGAGCUUAACUUGGGAAUUGCGUUGGAGACUGCAAGGCUGGAGUCUGGCAGAGGGGGGUAGAAUUCCACGUGUAGCAGUGAAAUGCGUAGAGAUGGUGGAGGAACACCGAUGGCGAAGGCAGCCCCCCUGGGUCAAGACUGACGCUCAUGCACGAAAGCGUGGGGAGCAAACAGG